rnacentral:rRNA from 1 species
UACCCGCUGAAUUUAAGCAUAUAACUAAGCGGAGGAAAAGAAACCAAACGGGAUUCCCCUAGUAACGGCGAGUGAACAGGGAUCAGCCCAGCGCCAAGUCCUGACAUUUGACAUGUUCAGGAGAUGCGGCGUUAGUGUAUUGGUGCAUCGUACACUGUUUCGUAUCUCAAGUUCCUUUGACAGGGACUCCCAGAGUGGGUGCUAGGCCCAUAGAGAUUGCGAAGCUGGUGUACGCAAACCAAUGCAUUUUAGAGUCAGGUUGCUUGAGAGUGCAGCCUAAAGCAGGUGGUAAACUCCAUCUAAGGCUAAAUAUUACAGCGAGACCGAUAGCAAACAAGUACCGUGAGGGAAAGUUGCAAAGAACUUUGAAGAGAGAGUUCAAAAGGACGUGAAACCACUAACAGGCAAACGGGUGGAACCACGAAGUGUGCCUGGGAGGCGAUUCAGUUAUCAUUGUUGGUUGGCGGGGUCAGUGUUGUGUCGGUCUUUUCAGGCUGCACUGAUCUUGUCUACAAUCGGCAAUGGUAAUGCAUUUCGUCCUUUCAGUGCUAAAGCCACGUCCGAUUAGGUGACUGGAACGGCCGUAGAGGGUGACCGAAGGAAGGUGGCCGUCAGAUGCUUGCGUCUGGCGGUGUUAUAGCCAUCGGUCCGUGCCGUUGCCUAGUGUGCUGAUCGGUGCAAGUUCUCCUUUUGGAGUUUUGCCAGUAAUGGGCUAGUGCGCCUGUGGUCGCCUGGUCGUCGCGUUAGUGUGGCCUUUCGUAUCUUCGGGUAUGCAAAGACAUAUUAUCGUCGGUGGCCAGUGUGCUGCUUGCGUGAUCAGCUUGUGCAAACGGUGGUGCGAGUAGGUCGGUCUCCACCCGACCCGUCUUGAAACACGGACCAAGGAG